rnacentral:rRNA from 1 species
CAGCCGCCGCGGGAAUACGGAGGGUGCAAGCGUUAAUCGGAAUUACUGGGCGUAAAGCGCACGCAGGCGGUCUGUCAAGUCAGAUGUGAAAUCCCCGGGCUUAACCUGGGAACUGCAUUUGAAACUGGCAGGCUAGAGUCUUGUAGAGGGGGGUAGAAUUCCAGGUGUAGCGGUGAAAUGCGUAGAGAUCUGGAGGAAUACCGGUGGCGAAGGCGGCCCCCUGGACAAAGACUGACGCUCAGGUGCGAAAGCGUGGGGAGCAAACAGGAUUAGAUACCCGGGUGUCCCUGUCUCUUAUACA